CCGGACUCCCUCCUGUUUUCUUCCUACAAAAACUCCAGAGUUAGCAGCGGACAGUCUCGACUGGGACAGAGGAAAGUAGGCGCCGGAGACUAAAAGAAAAUAAAAGGAAUGGUCGCUGCUAUUUAAAAUUAUCCUGAAAUACAAAGAGCAGCAAAGCUGAUCCGCUGUCUUCAGGGAAGUGCUCAUGGAGGAAAGACGUACAAAGGAAGCAGAAACACUGGGUGUUGUCAGUCUGUGUACUUAUACAAUCUGGAUGUUUCAUGUUCAGUCGGCACCCCGUGACAUGGCGCCAUUGACACGCAGAAGGACUUAAAAUGAUUUGCAACAUUAUUUAAAGGAAAUCCCAAACCACUUAAGACAUAUAUGUAUAUAAUGAUUAUAUUUUUAUAUGGCAUGUACUGUAUUUUUCUACUUAUUUUAUGUUGCUGUUAUUCUUUUCCUAUUUACUGUAUCCUGUCCCUGCUUCAAUUAUCCAGUUUGUUUUUACGUAUCACUGGUGUUUUCUGUGAUUUAUUGUGCUUACUUUACUUUUCACAUACAUUAUCUAAGGUAUAACAUAUUACCAGGUUUGAUAUUUUGUAUUGUCGCUAUAAAAAAAGUGCAGUGUGCAGUGCAUGCUCUUACCACAAGAUGGAGCCAUUGUAACACCACCUACAGUUGGACACUGCUGCACAGGUUCAAUUACCAACCUAAGAUGUAUGUCUGACUGAACUCGAGGUUGAAUAAAAUUGAGAUGUGACAAAUA